AAUUUGUUAGGAUAAAAAGUCUUUAGGAUUCAUAUUUCUAAGGUGAACAAAUUU
rnacentral:tRNA from 2 species